AGGUGUAAAGGCAGCAAUGCCAAAGCCGAGCGAAACUAAUCUCCCGAAACUUUGCA
rnacentral:rRNA from 1 species